GACGAACGCUGGCGGUGUGCUUAACACAUGCAAGUCGAACGGCAACGCCCUGAUUUCGUGGUGUGACUGAGUGGCGAACGGGGGCGUAACACGUGUGUAUCGGGCUCUUGAUUUUCGGGUAACAUAAGGUAACUGGGGCUACUACCAGAUCGGAGACCACGUUGCGGGGAGGGGGUUGGAACUUCGCGGCGGGCGGGGAUGGACUGGCGGAUGAUGGGCUAGUUAGUGGGGGGGUGGCUUGCCAAGGCUUUGACGGGUAGCCGGCCUGUGAGGGUGACCGGCCACAUUGCGACUGCGAGACGGCCCAGACUCCUACGUUAGGCAGCAGUGGGGAAUAUUGCACAAUGGGCGGAAGCCUGAUGCAGCAACGCCGCGUGCGUGAUGACGGCCUGCGGGUUGUAAACCGCUUUCGCCUGUGACGAAGCGUGAGUGACGGUAAUGAGUAAAGAAGCACCGGCUAACUACGUG
rnacentral:rRNA from 1 species